CUCUUCUGUGGGAUUCCCUGAGCUCUGAGAGGAGGGGUUUGACUGAGGUCUCCAGUUUAGACUUUCUCUCUGUGCAAUGUCUGUCUGUGGGGCUCUGUGUUUGCUCCUAUCUGCUGCUGGAGGAAGCCUGUCUGGUUAUGGAAACAGGAUCAACGUUUCCAGGCUUCCAAAGUUGACUGAGGUCCAGCGACUCUCCAGGAAUACUCCAGGUCUUUGGACAGAUUGGAAGAGCUGAGCUACCCACCCUGCCUCAAGGACAGAGCAGAGACUUGCCAUUACUAUUUUGACUUAAGCUAAUUUAAUAAGUUCUUUGUGUCUUGUUCUCCUAGUAAACUUUGAUUAAGGC